UCAAUCAUUGUUGUGGAUUUUAAAGGUAUCUAUUGCGUGUACCAGGCAACCUGACUGACAAGUCGACUUGGCUUGAAAUAUCUAAACAUUGCACGUUUUAUUGGAUUACUUCUGCAAAAUCACUUUUUCGUUUUUGCAUCUUUCAGGUAUUCAGACAACAAUCCCAUUGUAUCCUAAGAAAGGCAAUUACAGACUUGCAAAAAGAAUAUUAAGUUAAACAAGAGCCUUUUCUGAACCGUGCCCUAAUUGUGUAUUCAUCAACAGACGGGGUUUGCUGUUUGAACUUUGUUCGGUGCCUUCUGUGCCGUAAACGCACAGAGGCGCUCUUUUACAAUAUUGCCGCAGAAGAUUAUUUAGAUCGUGUGAUGACGAUCGUCGUUGCAGCAGAAGUCAAGGCUGCAAACUUAUUGUAAUACAAUUUCAGUGAAAAAAAAUCCUUUAAAUAGACUUUUGUGGUGUGCAUUCUUCACUGUUGCAGCCACAAAAUUGUUUUAGAAACAACUUGAUGUGUUUUGAAAAUAGUGCCGUUUAUUCUAACAAAUCGAGUUUCCAUAGCUUUCUUUUAUGUUUACUUUGAGAAACUGCACAUCAGAAAAUUAAAAUUAUUAUAUCGAGGUCAGGUACAUUGUCUCCGAUAUCAUUUGUUUCAAUGUCAGUGCCAAAUUAAACGAAAUUACAAGGCCUCGCUUGAAAUAGCAUCAUUCUGAAAUCACCAUUGCAAAGACUUACCACAUCAGAUGGAUUCGACAGUUCCGAGCAGAUAAGAUUCCGGGGAUUACCAGACAAAAAGAGAACGCUAUUCCUACUUUUUAAUUCACUCCACCAGAGAGCGGGAUCGAAGCCACAGGAGAUGUAGUUCCUAUUCUUUUACCUCAUCCUUUCGCACCAUCCGGGGACCCAUACAGUCUCUCUCUAUGAAGCAGCAUGCCAACUCUACUGCUACCAGCCUGGACUACACAGUAAAUCCAAGAAACACCACAGGAUCAAUGAAAUACCACACUCUGUAGGAUGGACUAAUGUGCAAAAGACGACAAAAAUGUGCAAACACAAAGAAAAAAAUGUAAUAAUAAUCAAAUAAGAAAUAAAUAUCAAGAAG